CCUACGGGGGGCAGCAGUGAGGAAUAUUGGUCAAUGGACGCAAGUCUGAACCAGCCAUGCCGCGUGCAGGAAGACGGCUCUAUGAGUUGUAAACUGCUUUUGUACGAGGGUAAACGCAGAUACGCGUAUCUGUCUGAAAGUAGCGUACGAAUAAGGAUCGGCUAACUCCGUGCCAGCAGCCGCGGUAAUACGGAGGUUUCAAGCGUUAUCCGGCUUUAUUGGGUUUAAAGGGUGCGUAGGCGGUCGGAUACGUUAGAGGUGAAAUCCCGCGGCUCAACUUCGGACUUGCCUCUGAUACUGUUCGGCUAGAUCGUAGUUGCGGUAGGCGGAAUGUAUGGUGUAGCGGUGAAAUGCU
rnacentral:rRNA from 1 species